rnacentral:rRNA from 1 species
UACGUAGGUGGCAAGCGUUGUCCGGAUUUACUGGGCGUAAAGAGCGCGCAGGCGGUCGUUCAAGUCGCGUGUGAAAGCCCCCGGCUCAACUGGGGAGGGUCACGCGAUACUGAUCGACUCGAAGGCAGGAGAGGGUAGUGGAAUUCCCGGUGUAGUGGUGAAAUGCGUAGAUAUCGGGAGGAACACCAGUGGCGAAGGCGACUACCUGGCC